GACGAACGCUGGCGGCGUGCUUAACACAUGCAAGUCGAACGAUGAAGCUGGAGCUUGCUCCGGUGGAUUAGUGGCGAACGGGUGAGUAACACGUGAGCAAUCUGCCCUUGACUCUGGGAUAACUGCGGGAAACUGUAGCUAAUACCGGAUACUUUCACUGGAAGGCAUCUUCUGGUGGAGAAAGAAUUUCGGUCAAGGAUGAGCUCGCGGCCUAUCAGCUUGUUGGUGAGGUAACGGCUCACCAAGGCGACGACGGGUAGCCGGCCUGAGAGGGUGACCGGCCACACUGGGACUGAGACACGGCCCAGACUCCUACGGGAGGCAGCAGUGGGGAAUAUUGCACAAUGGGCGCAAGCCUGAUGCAGCAACGCCGCGUGAGGGAUGAAGGCCUUCGGGUUGUAAACCUCUUUUAGCAGGGAAGUAGCGAAAGAGACGGUACCUGCAGAAAAAGCACCGGCUAACUACGUGCCAGCCGCCGCGGUAA
rnacentral:rRNA from 1 species